CUUGGGUCAUUUAGAGGAAGUAAAAGUCGUAACAAGGUUUCCGUAGGUGAACCUGCGGAAGGAUCAUUACCGAGUGAGGGCCCUUUGGGUCCAACCUCCCACCCGUGUUUAUUUACCUUGUUGCUUCGGCGGGCCCGCCUUAACUGGCCGCCGGGGGGCUUACGCCCCCGGGCCCGCGCCCGCCGAAGACACCCUCGAACUCUGUCUGAAGAUUGUAGUCUGAGUGAAAAUAUAAAUUAUUUAAAACUUUCAACAACGGAUCUCUUGGUUCCGGCAUCGAUGAAGAACGCAGCGAAAUGCGAUACGUAAUGUGAAUUGCAAAUUCAGUGAAUCAUCGAGUCUUUGAACGCACAUUGCGCCCCCUGGUAUUCCGGGGGGCAUGCCUGUCCGAGCGUCAUUGCUGCCCUCAAGCCCGGCUUGUGUGUUGGGCCCCGUCCUCCGAUUCCGGGGGACGGGCCCGAAAGGCAGCGGCGGCACCGCGUCCGGUCCUCGAGCGUAUGGGGCUUUGUCACCCGCUCUGUAGGCCCGGCCGGCGCUUGCCGAUCAACCCAAAUUUUUAUCCAGGUUGACCUCGGAUCAGGUAGGGAUACCCGCUGAACUUAAGCAUAUCAAUA
rnacentral:rRNA from 1 species